UCCUCGUUCGCGUGAAUUAAAAUAAUAAGACUUGAAAAAUAAAAAUUAAUAAAUUGGAUUUGAGGAUAAAAAUAUUAACAUGCAAAAAUAAAGUUGAUUCAAUUGACAAACAAAAACAAUGGAUGGAUGGAUGUUAUUGGGUACUAACAAUUUAAUCUAUUCCACUCUCUCUUACAUACUACCCUUGACUAUUUGUUGAUUGAUUCAAUUGUUAUGCGACUUUCUUAGCCUCCCCUUAACCCGAUCCCUCGGCGAAAAGGGCCUAAUAUUAACUACCGGCUUGCUAUCCCUAGCCUCCCCUAGUAAUUAAUACCGCAUUAUAAACAGAAGUUAGCGCAAUUGAUCGUCCUACCCCUAUCCCUAGGUGGUAUUGCAAAAUCAAGAGAUUACUCACCAGUUCAUGUCAUUACUGUACGUCCCCAUAUCAAUAAAGACAAACAUCAAUAUACNGAAUGAGUUAAAUGAUAAAGG
rnacentral:lncRNA from 1 species